GGGGGGCCACUGGGGAGCAGGAGGGACAGACUGAAGAGAAGUCCUGUGCUCACUGCUAACUUCAAGAGAAUAGGGAAAGAGGCUGACAGAAGGGAAGGCUUGGAUGGAGAGGGCGGAAUCCUGGAAAAGAAAGCCAAGACAAAAGAAGGGAGAGAAUCUAGGCAACCAUGGUAGGCAGCUCCAGCGAGGAGCCUUCCAGGGACAAAGGCCAAGCCAGGACAGAGGAGGGGACGAGGUCCAGUGGGCCUGGACAGAGACAGCUGGCCCCUCCAGCUGAGACCAACCCUGCCUUGGGGGCUCCACCGAAAGAGAAGCACCCCAACUCAAGAAGCAAAAAGCCUCUCUGCCUGCCACUGCCCUUGGGGCUGUCACAACAGAUAAAACCUCAUCCAGGCUUCACCGGCCCUGCACACUGAUGCUCCGCAGAGCUAAAAAUACCGGCUUGGGGUGGGAAGGAGGGGAGGUGGGGGAGGGGGCACUUUGCCCGCUCAGGCAGCCUCUUGAUUUCCAGAGCGUCCUAAGGAUCCAGAUGUGCAGCCUCAGAGACGACCGCCCUGGGAACUGCAAAUCACGGGCCGCCAGCCCCUCCCCGGGACAGGAGUUUCCAUUCCAAGCCCUCAGUGGUUACCUGGAACCUUCUAUGGCCUGCAGGAAGAGGGAGCACUAUGGGUAUGACUGAAUGCGUUGGUGUCACCGCCACAUACAUCUGCCUGCAGCUGCCAGGUCGGAUGUGCCGCCACGGGCAGUGGCCCCAUGCAGGAGUCUUGUAGCUGGGGACCUGCGCUGUUCCUAGAAGCCCAAAGUCUGUGAGCCCUCACCUGUCUGCUGCUGUGCGCCAGUGCCCUGUGAACCUUGACCCCUGAUCUGCAGAGAAAGGAGAAAGCAAGCGCAUCUGCCCAUGCUGACCCCAGCACUAGUGGGUCAGCUAACGACCUCAGCUGUGCGGGGUGGGGGCUCCCAGGCUGCUGCAAGAAGCCAGUGAUGGGGAAAUGGACUCUGCUUCCUCUCCGGGGAUGGGCUGACCCCAACCCUGGGAGCUGGCUGGAAGACAGAUGAGGACAUGUGACCGUCACUCUGUACGGACACAUCACAGAGUUGCAGUUCUCUGGGGACUAGAAAGCCCUCGACACUUGUCUCUGUUCCCCCAGCCCCUUUCCUUUCCAAGGCAGAAUAUGGCCUGCUGAAAUUCUGUACACUAAUAAAAUUGUAACUAAUUUACAUAGGAGAUGGGGAGUGAGUGGCAGUGGUUGCCAUGGAGACCAUCUCCCAGGCACCGCUGUCUCCGCCUCUCCUGAGCAGCUCAGACAUCAAGAGAUCCUGCCUGGGCUGUGUGUGCAGCUGGGGCCCUGCCUCCUGCCUUGCGGCACCCUGCUCUCUUCAGAACUGAGCUCUCCCUAGGGGAAGAGCAGCAGAGCCCACCAGCGUGCUCCCACAGUGGACCUUAAUGUCCCCUCUCACACCAGGUGGCAGCCCUUUCCCUCUGGCACAGUCAGUGUUGAUUACACUCAGGGACAGUUUCCAGGAGCAAGGGACAGCAGUGGCUGAGCCCACCCCCAAACUGGUACUCCUGGGAGAAACCCCACCCUGAAUCCCAGGGUUCGGAGGCAGAGUGGUCAGUUCAGCAGGCUGCCAUAGAGCACUUCACUUGGGCUGUCUCGUUUCCACCCCAAGGCAGCCCCACAAAGAAGGCAAGGUCAGUGCUCACUGUACCCACAGCACGGAAGAUCCUAGGCCUUGUUAAGAGGAGGGCUUGGGCCAGAGCCAAGUCUGCCUCUGAUGCUGAAUUGCCUGGAAGAGAUCAGAAGAAACCAUUCCAGCUAGGCAGGCGUGAGCUAGCGAGCUUGGGAGUGAGAUGCCUUGCUUUGUUUUAUUUAUUUAUUUGUUUUGGGUUUUGUUGUGUUAUUUUUUGUUGCUUUUUUUGUUUGUUUUGUUUUGGUUUUGUUGGUUUUUGCUUUUGUUUUUUUGCUCUUUUGGGUUUUUGUUUGUUUGUUUGCUUGUUUUUGACAAACUCACCUUGGCUGGUCUGGAGCUGGCUAUGUAAAUCAGGUUGACCUCAAACUCACAAGAGAUCCACCUGCCUCUGCCUCCAGAGUGCUGGGAUUAAAGGUGUGCGCCACCACUGCAUCCAGACCUGUUUUACAAGGCUGCAGCCCAGGUUUUCUACCUCAGGACUGGGGAGAGAAGAGCAGUGGCCUCAGGCCACACAUACAGCACCUGCCUGCCCCACCAGAAACUCAGCAUAGACAACUUCGCCUUCAGAAGCCUCACCAAGGCCAGCCUUUGGGAUGCAGGAAGGAGACAUCCUGCCCCCGCACUUGGGGCUCAUCUACCAAUGAAAAUCAAGCAGGAAACAGCAGAAUUGGGGUGACAAA